UCUCCGUUGGUGAACCAGCGGAGGGAUCAUUACCGAGUUUACAACUCCCAAACCCAAUGUGAACGUUACCAAACUGUUGCCUCGGCGGGAUCUCUGCCCCGGGUGCGUCGCAGCCCCGGACCAAGGCGCCCGCCGGAGGACCAACCAAAACUCUUAUUGUAUACCCCCUCGCGGGUUUUUUUAUAAUCUGAGCCUUCUCGGCGCCUCUCGUAGGCGUUUCGAAAAUGAAUCAAAACUUUCGACAACGGAUCUCUUGGUUCUG
rnacentral:misc_RNA from 1 species